rnacentral:lncRNA from 1 species
CCUCCCUACUCCAGUAUGACCUCAUCUUAACUAAUUACAUCAGUAGCCACCCUAUUUCCAAAUAAGGGCACAUUCUGAGGUACUGGGGGUUGGGACUUCAACACACCUUUUUGAGGAACACAAUUUAACCCAAAACAAAGAGCAAUACUUUGCUGAACUGAGGAGCUGGGGAAAAAAAAGAAUGUAUGAUAUAACCAUAGGACAGAAGAGACAGAUCAUAUAACUACAGCCUCCCUGGAGCCUAGGAGUUAAAGAGUCCAGGAGCCAGAGCCAUCAAUGAAACAAGGAGAUGAAGGACAGAGGAACACUUGCCUCCUGGUUUCCUGCUGGUGACUUCCCAUUCCUGCUGGUGAUUUCCCAGUGCUUGUUUUCCAUGGACCAAACCCAACUGGAAGUCAAAGGGCAGAAGAAUCAAGCAGAGCCCAGGUCCCAGAAGGACAGAGUAUGGAUCUGGAGGGAUUUUCCUAUGAGGCAGGCGGGACCAGACAAUUCCUGGUGGCCACUGUGUUUGCUGAGAACUAACCCAGUUUUCUCACCUUCUUAGAGACGAGAGAAGCAAGACAACCACCGACCCUGAGCACGGGACAGCCCCCAAGGAUUCUAUCAUCUGGCUCCAGAGCUGCAGGCACCAACAGAUUCCUGGGGAUCUGAUCCUAAAAAACACGAGACAGGACACACAUCUCUGGUUCCCAUCUAGAUGCUCAGCUCUUCCAACACUGACCAUGGCACCUGUGUUAGUGUCCUGUGGUUGUCACAACAAAGUGCCGCCAGCUGGGGGGCUUUAAACAACAG